UGGAACUUUUUUUUUACUCGGUAAAACUGGAACACGAUACAGAGAAGAUUAGCGUGGCACCCGGCGCAAGGAUGUCACGCACAAAUCGAGAAAAUGCUGUAUAAAAU